GGUAAGAUGGCUGAGUGUUUAAGCGGUGGGUUGUAGCCCCAUGCACAGAGGUUAAAGUCCCCUUCUUAUCA
rnacentral:tRNA from 4 species